AUUCAACUGACAAGUCCUAAAUAGGACGAGACACACAUCUUGAAU
rnacentral:hammerhead_ribozyme from 1 species